CCUACGGGUGGCAGCAGUGAGGAAUAUUGGUCAAUGGCCGAGAGGCUGAACCAGCCAAGUCGCGUGAGGGAAGACGGCCCUACGGGUUGUAAACCUCUUUUGUCGGGGAGCAAAGCGAACCACGUGUGGUUCAUUGAGAGUACCCGAAGAAAAAGCAUCGGCUAACUCCGUGCCAGCAGCCGCGGUAAUACGGGGGAUGCGAGCGUUAUCCGGAUUUAUUGGGGUUAAAGGGUGCGCAGGCGGAGGUGCAAGUCAGCGGUAAAAGUUCGGGGCUCAACCCCGUACUGCCGUUGAAACUGCAUGCCUUGAGUGCGCGAGAGGUAUGCGGAAUGCGUGGUGUAGCGGUGAAAUGCAUAGAUAUCACGCAGAACUCCGAUUGCGAAGGCAGCAUACCGGCGCGCAACUGACGCUGAGGCACGAAAGCGUGGGUAUCGAACAGGAUUAGAUACCCUAGUAGUC
rnacentral:rRNA from 1 species